rnacentral:lncRNA from 1 species
ACCUUGCACUGGCAUAUGAACGUGGUACCGUAAGACUCACCCAGUUGAUAUCAGUUUUGGAAGCAUGGAGAGUCAUGAAGAGCAGCUGAGGCUUGGCACUGUGAGAGGACAGGGUAAGCCACUGGAGAAGGUUCAGCCUCAGUAGAAGUUGAAGGCCCAGGAUCCCAGGAGCUGUAGAAAAAAGUUGAUGUCAUCAAGAUCUCAGCAUUUUUGGAGAUGCCAGUCCCAUGGGAUAACUACCAAGAACAGUAGCAUUGGUGGAGUGGAGCCUGCCGCAGCCUGAAAGACAAGCUCUGUGUGAAGCAGAGGAUGGAGCCAGAGAUGUGAUUCAAGCCCUUUGGAGAAGCCCCGGAGAUCACAAAGAUCACGAAUGAAUCCCAGAUAGUGGGCGUUGAGUUAUUUACAAAGUGCGGGUUGCUUUAACUUUGACUCUGCCCUGGUUCUUCCUUCUUAAACUUCCAUCCACUGUUACUGCGUUCAAGUAAUUACACAAUCAACCGGCAUCCUAGAGAGCCCUGCGGUGGAGCAAGAGAUUGUGCUAAAAGGCUGUUUAUCUCCACGAUGACUGAAAGGCUACCAUAUGGCCAAGCUGGAAUAAAAAACACCUAGUGAAACCCCUUGUAGUGGCUAUUCCUGGUUGUCAACUUGACUAUAUUUGGAAUGAACUACAAUCCAGAAUUGGAAGGCUCACCAGUGACCCUUAUC